GACCCCGUGGCCUAGCGGUUAGCGCAGUUGUUAUUGAAAAAUGCAUCGGAGGUUCGAACCCCACCGGGGUCU